AUGAGAUUAAAAUUAUUAAAUAUAAUUUUAUCAACAAUAAAUAAACUUAAUAAUAAUAAUAAUAUUAUUAUUAAUAAUCUAUUAGAUUCAUUAAUAAAUAAGAAAUUAUUAUUAAAGAAUAUAUUAUUAGAUAUAAAUAAUAAAAAAAUAAAUAAUAUAAAAAGAAUAUUAAAUAAUAAUAAUAUAAAUAUUAAUAAUAAAUUACAACAUUUAAAUAAUAUAAAUAAUUGAAAUCUACAAAUUUAUAAUUAUAAUAAAAAUAUAGAAAUUAUAAAUACUAUAAAUGAUAAAUUAAUUAAUAAAUUAUUAUAUAAAAUAAUAACUUUAAAAUUAAAUAAUAUAAAUAUUAAUAAAAUUAUUAUAAGUAAACUUAUUAAUCAACAUAGUUUAAAUAAAUUAAAUAUUAAAUUUUAUUAUUAUAAUAAUGAUAUUAAUAAUAAUAAUAAUAAUAAUAAUAAUAAUAAUAAUAAUUAUUAUAUAAAUAUAAUAAAUAAAUUAAUAAAUAUUAUAAAUAAUAAUAUAAAUAAUAAUUUAUGUAAUAUUUUAAGUUAUUAUUAUAAUAAAAAAGUAACUAUUGAACCUAUUAAAUUAUCAUAUAUUUAUUUAAAUAGUGAUAUUUUUAGUAAAUAUAUUAGUUUAAAUGAUAUAGAUAAAUAUAAUAAUGGUAUCUUAACUAAUUAUCAACGUAUAUUAAAUAAUAUUAUACCUAAAUUAAAUGAUCAUAAUAUUUCUAUAAAUUAUAUUAAUAAUAUUAAUAAUAUUAAUAAUAAUAAAUAUAAUAAUAUAAUUAAUUUAUUAAAUAAUAAUAAUAAUAAUAAUAAUAAUAAUAAUAAUAAUAAUAAUUAUAUUGGUAAUAUUAAUAAUAUUUAUAAUAAUAUAACUAUUGAUAAUAUUCCUAUAGAUAUUUUAAUAUAUAAAUAUUUAGUUGGUUGAUCUAUUAAAUUUAAAGGUAGAUUAAGUAAUAAUAAUGGUAGAACUAGUACACUUAAUUUAUUAAAUGGUACUUUUAAUAAUAAAAAAUAUUUAUGAAGUAAUAUUAAUAAUAAUUAUAAAUUAAAUUAUAUCCCUUCUAAUCAUAAUUUAUAUAAUAAUUCUAAUAUUAAUAAAAAUGGUAAAUAUAAUAUUAAAGUUAAAUUAAACUUUAUUUAA
rnacentral:rRNA from 1 species